GACAGAGGAUGCAAGCGUUAUCCGGAAUGAUUGGGCGUAAAGCGCACGUAGGCGGCUUUGUAAGUAAGAGGUGAAAGCCCAGAGCUCAACUCUGGAAUUGCCUUUUAGACUGCAUCGCUUGAAUCAUGGAGAGGUCAGUGGAAUUCCGAGUGUAGAGGUGAAAUUCGUAGAUAUUCGGAAGAACACCAGUGGCGAAGGCGGCUGACUGGACAUGUAUUGACGCUGAGGUGCGAAAUGCGUGGGGAGCAAACAG
rnacentral:rRNA from 1 species